CCGUGCUAGGCGGGAAAUUAGCGGUGUCCUGUACUCGCAAUCCGCUCUAGCGAGGCUGAAUCCCCUCCCGAGGGGUGACUGCCUCGGGGCCAGCCCGCCGUCGCGGCGCUGAUGGCCCGGGUCCCCGCGCGAUAUCGGCCCGUGAACCAGGUCAGGUCCGGAAGGAAGCAGCCUUAAGCGGUCACCGGUAGGCGCAGCGGGAGAUCCCGGACCGGAGCCGUUGACGGCGCAAGCGCCCGGGGCAGCCGCCUCGACGGAGGGUGCACGG
rnacentral:SRP_RNA from 1 species